ACUCUAAUAGUUUAUAAAAACAUUGGU
rnacentral:tRNA from 20 species